AUUGAACGCUGGCGGCAUGCCUUACACAUGCAAGUCGAACGGCAGCACGGGAGCAAUCCUGGUGGCGAGUGGCGAACGGGUGAGUAAAGUAUCGGAACGUGCCCAGUCGUGGGGGAUAACGUAGCGAAAGUUACGCUAAUACCGCAUACGAUCUAUGGAUGAAAGCGGGGGAUCGCAAGAACUCGCGCGAUUGGAGCGGCCGAGAUUGGAUUAGGUAGUUGGUGGGGUAAAGGCUCACCAAGCCGACGAUCUGUAGCUGGUCUGAGAGGACGACCAGCCACACUGGGACUGAGGCACGGCCCAGACUCCUACGGGAGGCAGCAGUGGGGAAUUUUGGACAAUGGGCGAAAGCCUGAUCCAGCCAUGCCGCGUGCAGGAUGAAGGCCUUCGGGUUGUAAACUGCUUUUGUACGGAACGAAAAGGUUUGGCCUAAUAAGCUGAGCUCAUGACGGUACCGUAAGAAUAAGCACCGGCUAACUACGUGCCAGCAGCCGCGGUAA
rnacentral:rRNA from 1 species